rnacentral:rRNA from 1 species
CCUACGGGAGGCAGCAGUAGGGAAUAUUGCUCAAUGGGGGAAACCCUGAAGCAGCAACGCCGCGUGGAGGAUGAAGGUUUUCGGAUUGUUAACUCCUUUUGUUAGAGAAGAUAAUGACGGUAUCUAACGAAUAAGCACCGGCUAACUCCGUGCCAGCAGCCGCGGUAAUACGGAGGGUGCAAGCGUUACUCGGAAUCACUGGGCGUAAAGAGCGCGUAGGCGGGAUAGCAAGUCAGAUGUGAAAUCCUAUGGCUUAACCAUAGAACUGCAAUUGAAACUGUUAUUCUAGAGUAUGGGAGAGGUAGGUGGAAUUCUUGGUGUAGGGGUAAAAUCCGUAGAGAUCAAGAGGAAUACUCAUUGCGAAGGCGACCUGCUAGAACAUAACUGACGCUGAUGCGCGAAAGCGUGGGGAGCAAACAGGAUUAGAUACCCGAGUAGUC